rnacentral:rRNA from 1 species
UACAGAGGGGGCGAGCGUUGUUCGGAAUUACUGGGCGUAAAGGGCGCGUAGGCGGCCACCUCAGUCGGACGUGAAAUCCCCGGGCUCAACCCGGGAACUGCGUCCGAUACUGGGUGGCUAGAGUCCGGGAGAGGGAAGUGGAAUUCCAGGUGUAGCGGUGAAAUGCGUAGAUAUCGGAAGGAACAUCAGUGGCGAAAGCGACUUCCUGGACCAGAACCGACGUUCAGGCACGAAAGCGUGGGGAGCAAACAGG